rnacentral:rRNA from 1 species
AUUGAACGCUGGCGGCGUGCCUAACACAUGCAAGUCGAGCGGUAACAGGUGUAGCAAUACAUGCUGACGAGCGGCGAACGGGUGAGUAAUGCUUCGGAAUCUACCCAAUGGUGGGGAAUAACCAGCCGAAAGGUUGGCUAAUACCGCAUACGUCCCACGGGAGAAAGCAGGGGAUCGCAAGACCUUGCGCCAAUGGAUGAGCCGAAGUCGGAUUAGCUAGUUGGAGGUAACGGCCUACCAAGGCGACGAUCCGUAGCUGGUCUGAGAGGACGACCAGCCACACUGGGACUGAGACACGGCCCAGACUCCUACGGGAGGCAGCAGUGGGGAAUAUUGGACAAUGGGGGAAACCCUGAAUCCAGCGACGCCGCGUGUGUGAAGAAGGCCU